AUUGAACGCUAGCGGGAUGCUUUACACAUGCAAGUCGAACGAGUGGCGGACGGGGGAGUAAUAUAUCGGAACGUGCCCAGUAGCGGGGGAGAACUAAUCGAAAGAGUGGCUAAAACAGCACAAUAGUGGAACGGCCGAAAUCGGAUUAGCUAGUGGGUGGGGUAAAGGCUGACCAAGGAAACGAUCCGUAGCUGGUUUGAGAGGAGGACAAGCCACACUGAGACUGAGACACGGUCCCGCCUCCUACGGGAGGCAGCAGUGGGGAAUUUUGGACAAUGGGGGCAACCCUGAUCCAGCCAUCCCGCGUGUGUGAGAAGGCCUUCGGGUUGUAAAGUACUUUUGGCAGAGAAGCGGUAUCUGCAGAAUAAGCACCGGCUAACUACGUGCCAGCAGCCGCGGUAAUAC
rnacentral:rRNA from 1 species